rnacentral:rRNA from 1 species
UGUGUAGGCGGGUGAUUAAGUCAGUGGUGAAAUCCUGCAGCUUAACUGUAGAACUGCCAUUGAAACUGAUCUUCUUGAGUACAGUUGAGGUAGGCGGAAUGUGUAAUGUAGCGGUGAAAUGCUUAGAUAUUACACAGAACACCGAUUGCGUAGGCAGCUUACUAAACUGUUACUGACGCUGAGGCACGAAAGCGUGGGGAGCGAACAGGAUUAGAUACCCUGGUAGUCC